rnacentral:rRNA from 1 species
GAUGAACGCUGGCGGUAUGCUUAACACAUGCAAGUCGAACGGUCACUUCGGUGAUAGUGGCGGACGGGUGAGUAACGCGUGAGAAUCUGUCUUCAGGUCGGGGACAACAGUUAGAAAUGACUGCUAAUACCGGAUAUGCCUUAUGGUGAAGGAUUUAUUGCCUGAAAAAGAGCUCGCGUCAGAUUAGCUAGUAGGUGGUGUAAGAGACUACCUAGGCGACGAUCUGUAGCUGGUCUGAGAGGACGAUCAGCCACACUGGAACUGAGACACGGUCCAGACUCCUACGGGAGGCAGCAGUGGGGAAUUUUCCGCAAUGGGCGAAAGCCUGACGGAGCAAUACCGCGUGAGGGACGAAGGCUUUUGGGUCGUAAACCUCUUUUCUCAAGGAAGAUAAUGACGGUACUUGAGGAAUAAGCAUCGGCUAACUCUGUGCCAGCAGCCGCGGUAAU